UGGAUGGAAAAGUAAAACUGUAAAAUAUAUUCCCUUCAGGUUCUCCUUUGAAAACAAGACUUCAAGGUAAUUAAAACCAGGCAUGGCAACCACAACACCUUCAUCAUAUCGUAUUGCGAAGAAAAUUACCCGCCACUACAAUCAUAUCUCGUUUUUACGUACAUGUAAGUCUUUGAAAUUAAUACCUAAUGGUCUACGCGCAACAUACUCUUUUGAAAACUUAAAAUAGAGAAGAAUAAUUAAUCAUAGAUAAUAUAGACUGAUUGAUAAUUGUAUCAAUCCCCAAUUUACACUAACCUUACUAUAUAAGACAAUGAAAGUGCAUACAAUGUAUCAUGGAGGAAAAACAAAAGAUUUCAUCGAUGAUAUAAAUAUUGCUUCCUUGCUGACUCAAUUGUGGUGGAACAGUAAGUGAUACCCUUGUUGUUGUACGUGGAGUUCUUAUGAUGAUCUGUGUUUAGCAAACUUGGUUUCUGUCUACUUUUUAAUCCCAGAUUUUGUAUUUUGUGUGGUCAGUUGUAUUUUGAAAAUGAUCCUGUCGAACUAAAGUGUCAGUAUAGUUGAGUAGUUGGUAAUAAGUAACUGCAUCUGGUUGUAGGCAAUGCUACCAAAAAUACAGUCUAUCAUUCCUAUGAAUUCCUAUGAUAUUAUUUAAUAAUCAGGAUUGACUUCUUAAACAUAAUAAUUCAAUUUAUUCUGAUAUAGGGCUCAUAAAAGAAUAUCCCGCUCUUUGACUUAUUUAUUACAGAGGAGAAAAAAAUGAAAGCAGUUGCUCAUCCACAAACCUAACACUGCUCAUUGUCACGGCGGUGGUACUGAUAUUCUUUUUUCUUCCGGUGGGUUUUAUCGUCUACUGGUGUACGAAAAAAAAUUAUCUGCAAUGUCAGGGAGAAGGAUUACUGGGCGCUCCCGCCAGGGCAACGACGAUACAAGCAAUUACAUACAGGUCAGCUCCUGCAAAAUCAAACCUCUUCUUUUCUUAUGAAACUCGUGGAGCUGCUCACUCCUGAAGGUAGGCCAAACUGGAAAGAUCUAGCGGCAAAUUUUGGCGAUUUCGCUUACGAGGAAAUCGCGAACUUCGGAGUUGGCAAAACUACAGUGGAGACCAAAAUCACGUCAACCAUCGACAAAUUAUAUAGAUGUUGUCUCAACAUUAAGAAGGAAGAUGUGGCGACGUACAUUGCCGAUUGUGUAAGCCAAAUAACAGACACUACACUUGUGUAGACAAUUGGCCUUUUUUGACAGGCGAUAUCCGCCGUUUCCUGCAUGCCUAUAUGGGUACCAAGUGAGCACACGACUUCGUUUCGACGUGGAAUUUUGGUUGAACUUUUGUCGCGACGUCGAUCAGCGGGAAAUCGACGUUGUUUCCACGUCAAGGUCAUUUCCACGACGUCGAAUCAAUGUCGCUUGUCAACGUUGUUUCAAGGUUGAAACAUGGUCGAUACGUAGUUAUAUACGUACAGGGUCGUUCGGCAACCAAAAAUCGACUGGCUUUCAAUAUUGCCGCAUUGCCGUGUUAACACAACCUACGACUUCAACAUUGCCGUGUUAACAAACCUACGACUUAAUUUUUUACGGCGAAUUGGUUAGCUGAUAGUGUCUGAUACUGUAUAAAAUAUUUCGAGAAAUUUGUACGUUCUUGAAAAAAGCGUUAAUGCAGGAUUCCGGGAGUCGGUUUGUAGUAUAGUUUACAGCUAUAGCCCGUGGACAGACACAUUAAAAUAAACAAUUGGCCGUGGAAAAAAUUAUUGUUCCUUAUACUUAGCUCUUUGACUCGAGUUCGUUUUUCCGGAGCAAGAGAUUUAAGGGGCGGCUGCCAUUCUGCGAAACACAGAUUGGAUAAUCUUUAUUUGUUUGUUAUUGUUGACUGGCAUACCAAGAGAAGUUUUUGGAAGGUAAGAUGAGUGGAUAGAUUCAUAAACAUUCCGAUGCCUAAUGAGUUAGCCCAUUAACAGGCAAAAAACCUUUGUCGACCCCCAGCGUCGCUAGCUGCAGGCCGUAUCACCCUAAUCGGGAACCUGCGCACAGGUAGAGCGGUUUUGAAAUGGGCUGUUGAUGUUUCUCCUGCUUUCAACAUGCGACCUAUACUAUAGUUCGGUAUAUUGUUCAUUUUUAUUAUUAAGAACAUUUACGACACAAAAUUUGCAUAGCUGGGCUGGCUACGUCGCUGCGAACGACGCGAUCAUAACGCCUAGUAGGCGUCUUGUUAUAUAUUGUUCGUUAAAAUUUCUAUAAGAUU